UUUCCGUAGGUGAACUUGCGGAAGGAUCAUUACAGAGUUCAUGCCCACAUGGGUAGAUCUCCCACCCUUGAAUAUUAUACUUGUGUUGCUUUGGCGAGGUUAGAUGGAUAAAACCUCUACCCGCCAGAAGACUUUAAUUCUGAGUUAUUGUGUCGUCUGAUUACUAUAUAAUAGUUAAAACUUUCAACAACGGAUCUCUUGGUUCUG
rnacentral:misc_RNA from 1 species